rnacentral:rRNA from 1 species
GACGAACGCUGGCGGCGUGCUUAACACAUGCAAGUCGAACGGAAAGGCCCUGCUUUUGUGGGGUGCUCGAGUGGCGAACGGGUGAGUAACACGUGAGUAACCUGCCCCUGACUUUGGGAUAACUUCAGGAAACUGGGGCUAAUACCGGAUAGGAGCUCCUGCUGCAUGGUGGGGGUUGGAAAGUUUCGGCGGUUGGGGAUGGACUCGCGGCUUAUCAGCUUGUUGGUGGGGUAGUGGCUUACCAAGGCUUUGACGGGUAGCCGGCCUGAGAGGGUGACCGGCCACAUUGGGACUAAGGGACGGCCCAGACUCCAACGGGAGGCAGCAGUGGGGAAUAUUGCACAAUGAGCGGAAGCCUGAUGCAGCAACGCCGGGUGCGGGAUGACGGCCUUCGGGGUGUAAACCGCUUUCGCCUGAGACGAAGCGUGAGUGACGGUAAUGGGUAAAGAAGCACCGGCUAACUACGUG